CUGGCAGAAAAGAUGGGUUUCCUCAUGUCAAAGAUGAAAAACUAAAAUUUGAAUCAGGCCGAAUGAUUACGAAGAACAAAAUCAGCCAGGACAGCCUAAGAUGACAAGCUGGCAGAAAAUUCAGCCGAAUUUGCAAAAAGACACCUACCACAUAUCUGUCACGCCCUCGAAGAGCUCACAUCCUGAAAGUGCUCCCACAAAUAGUGAGCUGUGUCCUCCGUGCCGUCCUCCGCUCCUGAAACUUGCAGGUCGGGACUUGAGUCCGACCAAUUUAUGCAAAGGGCAGAAAACUGUGUGUAAUCACUCCCAUCAUUGCACAUCUGUGCUUGAACUCAGUAAUGUGGUCCUAAAAUAUUAUUCUCCAAAUGGCAAAAGUGACAGAUAAGUCGAGAAGAACCAGCCUUAACCAGAAACCGUCUAAUACCUGGAAAUUGGUGGAGAAGUGAAAUCGCAAAGGAAAAGGCACCUGUCCUUGCGUUUUUUGGCUUGUCCCCAUCUGGAGCUCUGCUGUGGCCUGUCAGUAGGGACAUAAGACAUUGGAAUAGUCCUGGAAGUUGAAAUCUUCGCAUUUUAUUCAUUCCCUGGAAUUUCAGCUCCACUUGGACAAAAUCUGACCACUAAUGGUGGAUUAUGACUACCGAAAUCUUCCUUGGAGAACACGAUUUUGAUGAGAAAUGGAAUCCAAGGUAGCAGUGCCUUCAUUGGGGCUUUUGUUCAACUUUCUUGCAUGUCUUCUGAGGAUAGCCUCAAAUACCAGCACUGUUGCUCUGACAGUGACACAUUCCAAACCAGACUGAGAAAAAUGAAAGACGGAUGUCAUGAGUCGGCUCCUCCUGACGAGCUAUGGCCUCCCCUGAGAACAGUCUUUCUUUAGGUAGAAGAGAAGAUCGCACACAGCUCCUGUUUUCAUGGGUUUUCUUAUAACCUUACAUGAAGCACUGAACUUCCUCUUGCCCAUUCCUGAUCUCCAGCCUCUAAAGUGAAAGAACAAGCCAUCUGGGGAGGCACUGAGUCUUUUCUACUCCCACUCGAUGACGGGGCACCAGAGAAACAGGUCAAUAUGAUGUUCUGCAAACUCAGGGAUUCCAAGGAGACCCAAUGCCUCACUAAGAGGAAAUGCUUCAUCUAUCAUCUUCCACCAGCUCAGCAUGAUCUGGAAAAGUUGUGCAUUUCUCUGCUUUCUCCCGCUCAGGAGAACUUCUAACAAAAGAUUAAUGAAGCAAUGCUCGGGGCCUGGGUGGCUCAGUCAGUUGAGUGUCUGACUCUUGAUUUAGGCUCAGGUUAUGAUCUCAUGGUCAUG